CGGAGCCAACAAAGGCGCCGGUGCGCGCCGGGGCUCAUAUCCCCGGAAGGCCGGUUCGACUCCGGCAAGCCCUU
rnacentral:tRNA from 3 species